GCUAGCUAGCUAGCUAGCCAGCCAUCCAGGAGGCUACUGCUAUACCAGACUUGUUCCGGAAAGUUUCCGGCGGCAGCCGCCCCCGAGAGAGAUGAUGAUUCCCGCCGGCCGGAACUUACCCGAGGUAAAAAGUACUGUAGCCGGGCCUCUGAGACGGGGAUCUGCGCCAAGAGGUUAUUGGGUGUUUCCGGCCGGCCGACAUCUGGGCCUCCGGCAUGUACCGGAGAUGUUCCGUUCAGUUGCCGUACGGACGUAGAGAAGAUGAAUUGCCUCCCCGUUUCAACGGGAAAAGCAGGUUGAGGUGGAAGGAGCGCAGCUCAAGUGAAACCAUGUCGCAACAGUCUCCUCUGCGUUUUGCUCCAACAGUUUGGAAGCUACAUUCAAAAAAAAAAAAAAAAACGACUGAGACUCCGAAAAUUUUCGACGAGGAUUGCCCGUUGAAAAGACACACUGCGAUGCAUGGUGUCCCGGAGACAUAUACACCAUUUUCUCACGAUCUGAUAAAAUAUAUAUAGGGAGACGGUGGUGCUUGCCGCUCCUCCAAGAGGUGGAAGAAAAAAAGCUGGGUUAACGGUGAUUGCUCGCCCUUGAGUGUAGCAGGUUGCCUUAGCUGUCUUCCAUCGGCCCAUCUGCUGGGUCUCCGGCCUCAGCAGCAUCAGAAGCAAUGCAUGAGGCUCUGCUCUCUGCUAUUUCGAUUCUGAAGUGAAGUUCACACAGCUAACUCUCUAAACCAUCUAUUAUAAGGAGCAACAAACCGACAUCGGUUCUCUGGCUUAAAGAGGCAGCAGCAGGAUCAGAAGCAAUGCACGAUGCUCCUCUGCUGUCCGCCGUUUCCAUUCUGACGUGAAGUUCACGCAGCUAACACUCUAAACCAUCUAUUAUAAGGAGCAACAAACCGACAUCGGUUCUCUAGCUUGAAGAGACAGCAGCAGGAUCAGAAGCAAUCCACGAUGCUCCUCUGCUGUCCGCCGUUUCCAUUCUGAUGUGAAGUUUACGCAGCUAACUCUCUAAACCAUCUAUUAUCAGGAGCAACAAACCGACAUCGGUUCUCUAGCUUCAAGAGUCAGCAGCAGGAUCAGAAGCAAUGCAUGAUGCUCUUCUGCUGUCCGCCGUUUCCAUUCUGACGUGAAGUUCACGCAGCUAACUCUCUAAACCAUCUAUUAUAAGAGCAACAAACCGACAUCGGUUCUCUAGCUUAAAGAGGCAGCAGUAGGAUCAGAAUCAAUGCACGAUGCUCCUCUGCUGUCCGCCGUUUCCAUUCUGACGUGAAGUUCACGCAGCUAACACUCUAAAACCAUCAAUUAUAAGGAGCAACAAACCGACAUCGGUUCUCUUGCUUAAAGAGGCAGCAGCAGGAUCAGAAGCAAUGCAUGAUGCUCCUCUGCUGUCUGCCGUUUCCAUUCUGACGUUAAGUUCAUGCAGCUAACUCUCUAAACCAUCUAUUAUAAGGAGCAACAAACUGUCAUCGGUUCUCUAGCUUAAAGAGGCAGCAGCAGGAUCAGAAGCAAAGCAUGAUGAUCUGCUGCCGGCAAUCAUCAUCAUCAUCACCACCACCAGCAGCUAGCUAGCUAGCUAGCUAGCUAGCUAGCUCAGCCAGCCAGCCAGCCAGCCAGCCAUCCAGACUUGUUCCGGAAAGUUUCCGGCAGCCGUCCCCGGAGAGAUGAUGAUUCCCGCCGGCCGGAAGAUAUCCGAGGUAAAAGUACUGUAGCCGGGCCUCUGAGACGGGGAUUGCGCCAAUAGGUUAUUGGGUGUUUCCGGCCGGCCGGCAUCUGGGCCUCCGGCAUGUGCCGGAGAUGUUCCGUUCAGUUGCCGUACGGACGUGGAGAAGAUGAAUUGCCUCCCUGUUUCAAUGGGAAAAGCAGGUUGAGGUGAAAGGAGCGCAUCUCAAGUGAAACCAUGUCGCAACAGUCUCCUCUGCAUUUUGCUCCAACAGUUUGGAAGCUACAUUCCAGAAAAAAAAAAACGACUGAGACUCCGAAAAUUUUCGACGAGGAUUGCCCGUUGAAAAGACACACUGCGAUGCAUGGUGUCCCGGAGACAUAUACACCAUUUUCUCACGAUCUGUAUAUAUAUAGGGAGACGGUGGUGCUUGCCGCUCCUCCAAGAGGUGGAAGAAAAAAAGCUGGGUUAACGGUGAUUGCUCGCCCUUGAGUGUAGCAGGUUGCCUUAGCUGUCUUCCAUCGGCCCAUCUGCUGGGUCUCUGGCCUCAGCAGCACCAGAAGCAAUGCAUGAGGCUCUGCUCUCUGCUAUUUCCAUUCUGAAGUGAAGUUCACACAGCUAACUCUCUGAACCAUCUAUUAUAAGGAGCAACAAACCGACAUCGGGUUCUCUGGCUUAAAGAGGCAGCAGCAGGAUCAGAAGCAAUGCACGAUGCUCCUCUGCUGUCCGCCGUUUCCAUUCUGACGUGAAGUUCACGCAGCUAACACUCUAAACCAUCUAUUAUAAGGAGCAACAAACCGACAUCGGUUCUCUAGCUUGAAGAGACAGCAGCAGGAUCAGAAGCAAUCCACGAUGCUCCUCUGCUGUCCGCCGUUUCCAUUCUGAUGUGAAGUUUACGCAGCUAACUCUCUAAACCAUCUAUUAUCAGGAGCAACAAACCGACAUCGGUUCUCUAGCUUCAAGAGUCAGCAGCAGGAUCAGAAGCAAUGCAUGAUGCUCUUCUGCUGUCCGCCGUUUCCAUUCUGACGUGAAGUUCACGCAGCUAACUCUCUAAACCAUCUAUUACAAGGAGCAACAAACCGACAUCGGUUCUCUAGCUUAAAGAGUCAGCAGCAGGAUCAGAAGCAAUGCAUGAUGCUCUCUGCUGUCCGCCGUUUCCAUUCCGACGUGAAGUUCACGCAGCUAACUCUCUAAACCAUCUAUUACAAGGAGCAACAAACCGACAUCGGUUCUCUAGCUUAAAGAGGCAGCAGCAGGAUCAUAAGCAAGCAUGAUGCUCCUCUGCUGUCCGCCGUUUCCAUUCUGACGUGACUUUCCGCAGCGAAGUCUGUGAAUUAUCUAUUAGGAGCAACAAACCGACAUCGGUUCUCUAGCUUAAAGAGGCAGCAGCAGGAUCAUAAGCAACGCAUGAUGCUCCUCUGCUGUCCGCCGUUUCCAUUCUGACGUGACUUUCCCGCAGCGAAGUCUGUGAAUUAUCUAUUAGGAGCAACAAACCGACAUCGGUUCUCUAGCUUAAAGAGGCAGCAGCAGGAUCAGAAGUAAUGCAUGAUGCUCUGCCGUUUCCAUCCUGACUUGACUUUCACGCAUCUAAAUCUCUAAACCAUCUAUUAGGAGCAAAAAAACCGACAUCAGUUCUCUAGCUCAAAGAGGCAGCAGCAGGAUCAGAAGCAAUGCAUGAUGCUCUGCUGUCUGCCGUUUCAAUCCUGACGUGACUUUCACGCAGCUAAAUCUCUAAACCAUCUAUUAGGAGCAAGAAAACCGACAUAGGUUCUCUAGCUUAUAGAGGCAGCAGCAGGAUCAGUAGCAACGCAUGAUGCAUUGCCAAGCUCCGCCCAGUUGACUUUGAUGGCGAUGGCGCCAAGAGACGAUGGGGUGUUUUCGGCCGAUAUGCUGCCGGCAGAGUGCUUAAGUCCCAAAAAACGACUGAGUCUUCGAAAAUUUUCGACGAGGAUUGCCCGUUGAAAAGAGACACUGCGAUGCAUGGUGUCCCGGAGACAUAUACACCAUUUUCUCACGAUCUAUAUAUAUAGGGAGACGGUGUUGCUUGCCUCUCCUUGCUCCGAGGUGGAAGGAAAAAAAAGCUAGGUUAACGGGGAUUGCUCGCUCUCGAGUGUAGCAGGUUGCCUUAGCUGUCUUCCAUCGGCCCAUCUGCUGGGUCUCCGGCCUCUGUUGCCGUCACAGUACGAGCUGCGGUAAGUCUGGGCCGGCGCAGGGAAUGUAGUUAGCUGCCACCAUGCUGCUUGCUUUCCUUCUGCCGCCGUGCCCCGACCUGCCUUUGAUGCGGCUACCCUUCUAUUGUUUCAAGUGUCAUAUCAUUCACCGUGCGAUCACGUCUCCAGCUUGCCCAUGACAGCAGCAGCAUCGAGUUGUGCUCACGACACUCGAUCGGUCUGAGAAUGGGAAUGAAGCUGUAGAACAAACCGGCAUCGGUUUGUUAGCCGAAAGAGGCAGCAUCAGAAGCAAUGCCAUGAUGCUGUCCUGCCGGCAAUCAUCAUCAGCUGCAGCAGCUAGCUAGCCAGCCAACCAUGCAGGAGGCUACUGCUACAGCAAGCUUGGGCGACGGUUGAAGCUUCCAAGGCCUCACGUCUCCAACAGGAGCUAGCUCC